rnacentral:rRNA from 1 species
GAUGAACGCUGGCGGCGUGCCUAAUACAUGCAAGUCGAGCGAACGGACGAGAAGCUUGCUUCUCUGAUGUUAGCGGCGGACGGGUGAGUAACACGUGGAUAACCUACCUAUAAGACUGGGAUAACUUCGGGAAACCGGAGCUAAUACCGGAUAAUAUUUUGAACCGCAUGGUUCAAAAGUGAAAGACGGUCUUGCUGUCACUUAUAGAUGGAUCCGCGCUGCAUUAGCUAGUUGGUAAGGUAACGGCUUACCAAGGCAACGAUGCAUAGCCGACCUGAGAGGGGGAUCGGCCACACUGGAACUGAGACACGGUCCAGACUCCUACGGGAGGCAGCAGUGGGGAAUCUGCCGCAAUGGGCGAAAGCCUGACGGAGCAACGCCGCGUGAGUGAUGAAGGUCUUCGGAUCGUAAAACUCUGUUAUUGGGGAAGAACAUAUGUGUAAGUAACUGUGCACAUCUUGACGGUACCUAAUCAGAAAGCCACGGCUAACUACGU